GACGAACCGUCCAAACGUUAUUCGGAAUCACUGGGCUUAAAGGGUGCGUAGGCGGCCCGGAAAGUUGGGUGUGAAAGCCCUCGGCUCAACCGAGGAAUUGCGCCCAAAACUACCGGGCUCGAGGGAGAUAGAGGUGAGCGGAACUUAGGGUGGAGCGGUGAAAUGCGUUGAUAUCCUAAGGAACACCAGUAGCGAAAGCGGCUCACUGGGUCUCUUCUGACGCUGAGGCACGAAAGCUAGGGGAG
rnacentral:rRNA from 1 species